rnacentral:tRNA from 1 species
CAACGGCCUUCUAAGCCGUAGGUUACAGGUUCAAGUCCUGUCGGGCGCGCCA